CCUACGGGAGGCAGCAGUGAGGAAUAUUGGUCAAUGGACGAGAGUCUGAACCAGCCAAGUAGCGUGAAGGAUGACUGCACUAUGGGUUGUAAACUUCUUUUAUAUGGGAAUAAAAUGUUCCACGUGUGGGAUUUUGUAUGUACCAUAUGAAUAAGGAUCGGCUAACUCCGUGCAAGCAGCGGCGGUAAUACGGAGGAUCCGAGCGUUAUUCGGAUUUAGUGGGUUGAAAGGGAGCUUAGGUGGAUUUUAAAGUCAGUUGUGAAAGUUUGCGGCUCAACCGUAAAAUUGCAGUUGAAACUGGCAGUCUUGAGUACAGUAGAGGUGGGCGGAAUUCGUGGUGUAGCGGUGAAAUGCUUAGAUAUCACGAAGAACUCCGAUUGCGAAGGCAGCUCACUGGACUGCAACUGACACUGAGGCUCGAAAGUGUGGGUAUCAAACAGGAUUAGAUACCCUAGUAGUC
rnacentral:rRNA from 1 species